UAGCAGCAGGACACUGAAGAGUGCAGUUGGAUUAUUGUUUCUUCCUGGACAUUUACACAUGCCUCACAUAGUAUGGGACUCAGAUGGACAGCACAAGUCAGGGGUGCAGGCCAAUCAUCAUGCUCUAAGUACAUGAACAUCAACACAGCAUUAUCAUAUCAGGUCCAGCAGGACACUGAGGAGUACAGUUGGAUUGUUGUUUCCUCCUGGACAUUUACACACGCCACACAUAGUAUGGGACUCAGAUGGACAGCAAAAGUCAGGGGUGCAGGCCAAUCAUCAUGCUGUAAGUACAUGAACAUCAACUCAGCAUUAUCAUAUCAGUAAGCAUAGGUUUUAUAGCUCAACUUCAACAUGAACACACACACACACACACACACACACACACACACACACACACACACACACACACACACACACACACACACA